UGAGAGGAUGGAUUACAGCUUUGAAAAAUGCUGUACUCUGAAUAAAAUGCUAUCAAACAGCAUUGGACGCUACAGAAAAAUCUUUCAUGAAAGGAAGAGUCAAUCAAUGUGGCAAACUUUGUUGUUGUCUUGUCUUAAUAGAUUGCUAUAGCCAACUCAACCUCCAGGAAACACCACCCUGAUCAGUCAGCAGCCAUAAAUGUUAAGAACAAGAUUUUUAAAAACUUUUCCCUGCUAUCACCUUGAAAAUGCUGGAGUGCAGUGGCGCAAUGUCGGCUCGCUGGAACUUCCUCCUCCUGGGUUCAAGCAAUUCUCCUGCCUCAGCCUCCCAAGUAGCUGGAACUACAGGCAUGCGCCACUGGGCCCAGAAUUCUAUGCAUACAAUGGUAGAAGGAUGUACGAAGAUGGAGAGAGCAUUUCUGGAUAACAAAGUUGGCCUAACUGCUUUUUACCCAUUCAGGAGGUCUGGCUGUCAAUUUCUUUAACCUCUUUUUGAUAUACAUAACAUUUAGAUAGUUUUCUACCCAU
ensembl:lncRNA